rnacentral:rRNA from 1 species
CGCGUAGGCGGACCUUCAAGUCGGAUGUGAAAACUGGUGGCUUAACUGCCAGCCUGCAUUCGAUACUGUCGGUCUUGAGUACAGAAAGGGGAAAGUGGAAUUCCAGGUGUAGCGGUGAAAUGCGUAGAUAUCUGGAAGAACACCAGUAGUGAAGGCGACUUUCUGGUCUGAUACUGACGCUAAAGCGCGAAGGCUAGGGUAGCAAACA